rnacentral:misc_RNA from 1 species
UACAUGCACUGAGCACCGCAC